UUGGGCACUUUAAAGAGACUGCCGGUGUUAAACCGGAGGAAGGUGGGAUGACGUCAAGUCCUCAUGGCCUUUAUGCCCAGGGCUACACACGUGCUACAAUGAGUGGUACAAAGAGAGGCAAGCUCGCGAGAGUAAGCAAAUCUCAAAAAGCCAUCCUCAGUUCGGAUUGGAGUCUGCAACUCGACCCCAUGAAGUCGGAAUCGCUAGUAAUCGCGGAUCAGCAUGCCGCGGUGAAUACGUUCCCGGGCCUU
rnacentral:rRNA from 1 species